rnacentral:rRNA from 1 species
UACGGGGGGGGCAAGCGUUGUUCGGAAUUACUGGGCGUAAAGGGCUCGUAGGCGGCCAACUAAGUCAGACGUGAAAUCCCCAGGCUCAACCUGGGAACUGCGUCUGAUACUGGUUGGCUUGAAUCCGGGAGAGGGAUGCAGAAUUCCAGGUGUAGCGGUGAAAUGCGUAGAUAUCAGGAAGAACACCCGUGGCGAAGGCGGCUUUCUGGUACGUGACUGACGCUGAGACGCGAAAGCGUGGGGAGCAAACAGG